rnacentral:rRNA from 1 species
GUGGGGAAUCUUCCGCAAUGGACGAAAGUCUGACGGAGCAACGCCGCGUGAGUGAAGAAGGUUUUCGGAUCGUAAAGCUCUUUCGUUAGGGACGAACGUGCUCUUUGUGAAUAAUGAGGAGUAAUGACGGUACCUAAAUAAGAAGUCACGGCUAACUACGUGCCAGCAGCCGCGGUAAUACGUAGGUGGCAAGCGUUGUCCGGAAUUAUUGGGCGUAAAGCGCGCGCAGGCGGGAUAUCAAGUCUGUCUUAAAAGUGCGAGGCUCAACCUCGUGAGGGGACAGAAACUGGUAUUCUUGAGUGUCGGAGAGGAAAGUGGAAUUCCAAGUGUAGCGGUGAAAUGCGUAGAGAUUUGGAAGAACACCAGUGGCGAAGGCGACUUUCUGGACGAUGUCUGACGCUGAGGCGCGAAAGCUAGGGGAGCGAACGGGAUUAGAAACCCUGGUAGUCC